CAAAGUUCCAUACCCUCCAGGGAGAGCUAUGAAAGCAUCAGCUCUCUUAGCCAUCUCAGCCUUUCUUUCGUGCAUAUCUGAUACAGUCAAUACUUCUCCCACUGUAUGUUCUGAAAUCUCUGGCUCUAGUGGGAUAAGAGCUGUUGGGAUAACCCCUAGAACAUGACAUCCACCAUUAUGAACUGUCUGAGAGACCAGACCCAUCAACCCAAAGCUCCCUCCUCCAUAUACUAAAUCCACCUUCCUCUCCACCAGUUGUCUUCCAAGAUCAAUAGCUGCAUCACUGAAG
rnacentral:misc_RNA from 1 species